GAUGAACGCUAGCGGCAGGCCUAACACAUGCAAGUCGAGGGGCAGCACGUCUUCGGAUGGUGGCGACCGGCGCACGGGUGCGUAACGCGUAUGCAACCUACCUCUUACAGUGGGAUAGCCCCAGAGAAAUUUGGAUUAAUACCGCAUAGUAUGCGACAUCAGCAUUGAUGACGUAUUAAACAUUCAUGGGUAANAGAUGGGGCAUGCGUUCUAUUAGUUAGUUGGAGUGGUAACGGCACCCCAAGACAGCGAUAGAUAGGGGCCCUGANAGGGGGAUCCCCCGACACCUGGUACUGAGACACGGACCAGGACUCCUACGGGA
rnacentral:rRNA from 1 species